rnacentral:rRNA from 1 species
AACGAACGCUGGCGGCAUGCCUAACACAUGCAAGUCGAACGAGACCUUCGGGUCUAGUGGCGCACGGGUGCGUAACGCGUGGGAACCUGCCCUUAGGUUCGGCAUAACUCCCCGAAAGGGGUUCUAAUACCGGAUAAUGUCUUCGGACCAAAGAUUUAUCGCCUUUGGAUGGGCCCGCGUUGGAUUAGCUAGUUGGUAGGGUAAAAGCCUACCAAGGCGACGAUCCAUAGCUGGUCUGAGAGGAUGAUCAGCCACACUGGGACUGAGACACGGCCCAGACUCCUACGGGAGGCAGCAGUGGGGAAUAUUGGACAAUGGGCGAAAGCCUGAUCCAGCAAUGCCGCGUGAGUGAUGAAGGCCUUAGGGUUGUAAAGCUCUUUUACCCGGGAUGAUAAUGACAGUACCGGGAGAAUAAGCUCCGGCUAACUCCGUG